GGCCCGGUAGCUCAGUCGGUAGAGCAGAGGACUGAAAAUCCUUGUGUCGGUGGUUCGAUUCCGCCCCAGGCCACCA
rnacentral:tRNA from 23 species